CUAUACAUGACUCUGCGCAUAUCAAUAAGCGGAGGAAAAGAAACUAACAAGGAUUCCCCUAGUAACGGCGAGUGAAGCGGGAAGAGCUCAAAUUUGAAAUCUUAAAGGGUUUCCCUUUACGAAUUGUAGUUUAAAGAAGUGUUUUCUGUUGAGGUUUUGGUAAAAGUUCUUUGGAAUAGGACAUCAUAGAGGGUGAGAAUCCCGUAUUUGACCUUUACUUUCAACUUUGUGAUACACUUUCAAAGAGUCGGAUUGUUUGGGAAUGCAGUCCAAAAUGGGUGGUAAAUUUCAUCUAAAGCUAAAUAUUGGCGAGAGACCGAUAGCGAACAAGUACCGUGAGGGAAAGAUGAAAAGAACUUUGAAAAGAGAGUUAAACAGUACGUGAAAUUGUCAAAAGGGAAGCGUUUGACACCAGUGUUGUUUUUCUGAAAAUCAAUUAAAGAACUGUUUAUGCUAAGUUGUUUAGACUUUAUCAGCUAACUGUUUAGUUUUGAGCUUUUCUUUAAUGCACUUUUCAGUUAACAAGUCAACAUCAAUUUCUCUUGUUGUAAAAAGGGUCAUUGGAAGGUGGCUUGCGAUUUCGUAUAAGUGUUUAUAGCCUCUUGCCUCUGCAGUCGGAGAGACUGAGGUCUGCAGCGUAGACUCUUCGGGGUUAAAUAGCAUUUGUGCUAAGUUAUAGCAUUUUAUAGACAACUUGUUGACUAUGAUUAGUCUUGUAGCUUACUCGCUUAUGUUAUUUUACCUACGCUUAGGAUGUUGACAGCAGUAUAGACUGU
rnacentral:rRNA from 1 species